AUGGAAGGAACUGAGAGGACGAUGGGGCUGCUGGUGGUGGAAGCACCGCGCAGAGGAGCAAAUGCUUCUUCCUCUUUCUCUUGGUGGUGGUGGUGGUGGUGGAAGCACGGCGGAGAGCAGCAAAUGCUUCUUCCUCUUUCGCUCACUCUGCCUCGGUUGGUUUGGGGAGAGAAGAAAAGGAGGAAUGCUACGUGUCGAGUGUUGAUUGUUGAGUGGCUGAGCACGCUAGGUUGUACAGUGCGUAUCAUAGAGAAAUUUGUCCUAGGGGGAGGAAGAUUAAUUAGGAGAAAGAUGAGAAGCGUAUCUACUGCAGAGAAUGCUCUCGUCUCCAUGGUUGCACUGCACCUGCACCUCGGAGAAAUUUGCUCUGUUUAUGCAUUUGUAUUGAUGUUCUUUCUGUGUUCCAUUACCAUACAUUCCUAG
rnacentral:rRNA from 1 species